CGAUUUCCGCCUGAAACACAGCUUUUUCCGCCUGGGGCGGAAACUUCCGCCUGAAACACCAGUAUUUCCGCCUGGGGCGGCAAAACAGUGAGCACCCCUUUUCCUGCUUCAAAUUUCCGCCCGGAACACAUGUUUUCCGCCCGGGGCGGAAAACAGCAGACUAGUGUUGUUUUUCUUCACGUUUUCAAGGCAAUUUGCAACA
rnacentral:lncRNA from 1 species